UACGUAGGGGGCAAGCGUUGUCCGGAAUCAUUGGGCGUAAAGAGCGUGUAGGCGGCUCGGUAAGUCCGCUGUGAAAGUCCAGGGCUCAACCCUGGAAUGCCGGUGGAAACUGUCGAGCUUGAGUCCGGAAGAGGCGAGUGGAAUCCUGGUGUAGCGGUGAAAUGCGCAGAUAUCAGGAGGAACACCAAUGGCGAAGGCAGCUCGCUGGGACGGUACUGACGCUGAGACGCGAAAGCGUGGGGAGCAAACAGG
rnacentral:rRNA from 1 species